GAUGAACGCUAGCGGCGUGCCUAAUACAUGCAAGUCGAGCGAAGCGGGGACGGGGGAGUAACACGUGGAUAACCUCCUAUAAGACUGGGAAAAACUCGGGAAACCGGAGCUAAACCGGAUACUUAUAGAUGGACCCGCGCUGCAAUAGCUAGUUGGUAAGGUAACGGCUUACCAAGGCAAAGAAGCAUAGCCGAACAGAAAGGAGUAUCAGCCCCACUGGGACGGAGACACGGUCCCGCCUCCUACGCGAGGCAGCAGUAGGGAAUCUUCCGCACUGGGCGAACGCCUGACGCAGCCACGCCGCGUGUGUGAUGAAGGUCUUCGGAUCUUAACCCUCUUUUGUUAGUGAAGCGGUACCUAAUCAGAAAGCCACGGCUAACUACGUGCCAGCAGCCGCGGUAAUAC
rnacentral:rRNA from 1 species